CCUGGCUGCCGACUUUCAUGAGCAGUUUAACCAAACAAAGACGAUGCCUUCCCUACCCAGAGCCCUGUAACGGUGGCACCCGCACGUAUCUCCUUUCAGGAAGGGCCACUGCAAGGCCAGAGAAUUUGGCCACAUUCCUGCUCAUGCCCCACUCUGGAAACACUAGGCCUGCAGCCCCCUGCAAUUUGAGCAAAGAACAUUUGAAACAACUAGAGAAAGCCCCACUUCCCAAGGUGGAGAAACGUGACCUGAGAGGAGAAAAGAUUGGCCCGGGGUCCUAAUGUAAAUCAGAGUUCAAGCAGCCUCCAGCUCUCAAUGCCCUGCCUGUCUGCUGACCACCCUGCAGACAUGGAUUUCCCACUGGCCGUGCUUCUGUUUCAGGAACUGGGAAUGAAGAAUUCCUGAGGUUCCCCGGUUUUCUGGGAGCAAGGUUUCCUGGGAGUAGGGGCUAGGGACCCUGGAGGAGCCCUGCUCCCAUCGGAGAUUGUGAUUCUGUUGGGUCUUGGGAAAGACGGUGACAUUACCCCAGGGCUGCCAUCCAGGGGUCACAAGAGGGUUUGUGGUUCAUCCAAGAGCAGCCUUUUGCCCAGAGUGUCCUUUGAGAAAGAGCCUCCGACUUCAGACAACUCUGCAUGGGUGCUUUAUGCGGAGCCCAGGCCCAUGGCCUGGAGGCUUCUGCUCUCCAGGCAGGGAUGUGGGGAACCAGGGACUGCAUGGUUUCCUUUGCUGCUGAAACAAACGAUGACAAACUUAGUGGCUUCAAACAACACCUGUCUCAUAUCUCUGCAGGUGAGAAGGCUGAUGCAAGUGUCACCAGGCCAAAACCAAGGGGUUGGCAGGACUGGGUUCCUUAGGGGAGCCUCCAGAGAAAAGUCCACUUCCUCACUCACUCAGGAUCCUGAGUCCCAGAUUCACCCAGGAAACACACAGCAAGUCAGUGAUGGCCUGGACUAACCCUGCUCUUCUGCCUUUAACCAAUAUUUAAAGUCAGGUUGUAUACAUCUCAAUGGCCCCAAACCCAUGAGUCCUGAAGACAUUUUACUUCUUUUCAGCACCACUUAGAAACCAACAGAGUACAAGAAACACAGAAAAUGUC